GACAGAGGGUGCGAACGUUGCUCGGAAUUACUGGGCGUAAAGCGCGUGUAGGCGGGUGAUCAAGUCAGGUGUGAAAUCCCUGGGCUCAACCCAGGAACUGCACUUGAAACUGGUUGCCUUGAGUGUUGGAGAGGGAAGCGGAAUUCCUGGUGUAGAGGUGAAAUUCGUAGAUAUCAGGAGGAACACCGGUGGCGAAGGCGGCUUCCUGGACAACUACUGACGCUGAGACGCGGAAGCGUGGGGAUCAAACAGG
rnacentral:rRNA from 1 species